AUUUCUAAAUCGCUGAAACCAUUAGGUGCGGGGGAACCAUUUUUAUGGAUUAUUUCUUAAUCCAAGGGGUGAAUCCAAUUUUGGUAGGGCUACUCAUUUGGUCCGAAUCCGACAGCUAACCUCGUAAGCGUUCAAUGAGAAGGAAG
rnacentral:sRNA from 2 species